UUAGCUUUCAGGGUUCUCUUUUUGCAAGCUUAACCCUCACCCCUCCACACUUUAUUCCAGCGGUUCUUUGGUGCAGGGCACGCUCAGAGUUGCAGCAGCAGCAGAUAUGUUAGGUCUUGACAACAGUGUCAAUACCGAGCAGUGAGCAGAAGGAAAAUCAUCCACGUCCUCCUCCAAUAAGUUUACAACAAUAACACCGUGGCCGACUUGGCAACGCUCCGCGGGUGACACAUCCGAAACCGAUCGCCACGUUAAUUAGCGCGGAUCCCCGCACAGCGGCUUUUCGGCGCGGAGAAGGCACUCGAAAAGCACGCCGGGCUCCCCGGUACGCCGCUGGGACCGGGACGGAGCCGCCCGCAGCGCUGACAGCGGGACGGCCCGCAGCCUCCAAUCCCGUCGGCGGCACUGCUCAGGUUCCCAUGCCGGUGCAAGUUUCGGCUCCGCGCGGCCGCAGGGAGCCGGACUGCUCGGGGCGGAGAGGACAGCAGGAAGGCCCCGCGCAUCGCCCCCGUCCCGCUUCAGGAGGAGCCUUAGAGCGGCUCGAGCGGAGCAGCCGCCGCCCGUGACAAGCGCAGCGGAGAUCUUAUCGGCAGGAGGAAGUGCCGAGCUAUCGCCCUGCUUUUCUCCGAACCGUCGGCUUUACCAGGUGUCCAAAAUGACCAAAUUCACCAAGGCCACAGCUUGCUGCCAUUUCCUGAGGUUCAUGGUGACUCUGGCUGUCACCACAGCUGUGGAAACCUGACUACAGACCUGCAAGUGGAAGGAAAACCCGGCAUGCCUCUGGAAAUCACCCCUGUGAUUCACCGGGUGUCAUUCCUCUGAGUAAGCAUUGAGCUCAUGUCCAGCUUGAAGAUCACUGUGCUUUAUGAAAUACAAAUACGUAAUGUACAUCCAAGACCACGAGUCAUGUCUGCAAUGUUCUCUGCAGCAUCUAUGUUGGUAUUUGCCAGUCAUGAAUUCCCCACCACCCUCAGUGAACAAUUAGGCUGAUGAUUACAGCUGCUGGUUGUAUUGGAACUGUUGAGUUAUGGUCUGAACAACUGAUUGACCACCUGAAGCAAGGACUGAGUCACCUAUGGGAACACAGGUGAAGGCUAUUCACAUUUUUGACCUGCAGGGAUGGAGCCUGGCUGCACCUCUCCUAGACUCCAUUUAAGUGCUGACUGCCAUGGGAGAAGGAUCACUUUCUGGAGAUCCCUCCUUUUGGAGAUUUCUGUUGUGAGCUGAGGAUAUGGGUGAGUGUUUUGGUUUUGAUUGUUGUGAAAAGCUGUCCUAACCACACCGCUUUUCUAAUUGUACAUUUGUUAAUUGUAUGAGGGUGUGUGAUCACCCUGGUGUAUGAACUAUUUGCUAGAAAUAGUCUUUAAGUGCUUAAGGAAUAAAUCUGCAAGUUGUUUGUUUUUGUUUUUUUUUUUAAUUUAAUAAAUGCUUUUGCUAUUAGGUACUUAUGCAAAA